rnacentral:rRNA from 1 species
GACGAACGCUGGCGGCGUGCUUAACACAUGCAAGUCGAACGGAAAGGCCCUGCUUUUGUGGGGUGCUCGAGUGGCGAACGGGUGAGUAACACGUGAGUAACCUGCCCUUGACUUUGGGAUAUCUUCAGGAAACUGGGGCUAAUACCGGAUAGGAGCUCCUGCUGCAUGGUGGGGGUUGGAAAGUUUCGGCGGUUGGGGAUGGACUGGCGGCUUAUCGGCUUGUUGGUGGGGUAGUGGCUUACCAAGGCUUUGACGGGUAGCCGGCCUGGGAGGGGGACCGGCGACAUUGGGACUGAGAUACGGCCCAGACUACAACGGGAGGCAACGGUGGGGAAUAUUGCACAGUAGGCGGGAGCCUGAUGCGACAACGCCGCGUGCGGGAUGACGGCCUUCGGGUUGUGAACCGAUUUCGCCUGAGACGAAGCGUGAGUGACGGUAAUGGGUAAAGAAGCACCGGCUAACUACGUG